rnacentral:tRNA from 1 species
UAGCUCUGUUGGUAGAGCGUGGUGUUUGCAACACCAGGGUUGUGGGUUCGAUUCCCAC